AUGAGUGGCCCCAUCUUUUGCUCACUGCAGCAUCCAGUAGAGCAUGUUUGUUCUGGUACUGCUCUGCUGCAUGGUGCCCUUUCCAAGCUGAUGCUUGUUAGAUCACAAACAAAAUAUCACUACACGUCCAAGAUCUAUGUUUUCAUUAAACCGAACAAUCUUCAAACUUUGGACAUGUAUUACUGUGCCAGGGACAAAGUGAGAGAACUCCAGUGUGAGCUUGGACAGAAACCUCUCUACUCAGACCAGCAUGGGAUGUGGAGGAUGAACAGUGGACAGUGUGAGGUGCAAUUGCUGGAGUCUGGCGGAGGCUUAGUGCAGCCUGGAAAGUCCCUGAAACUCUCCUGUGAAGCCUCUGGAUUCACCUUCAGUAGCUACUGGAUGGACUGGGUCCACCAGGCUCCAGGGAAGGGGCUGGAGUGGGUUGCACGUAUUAAUGGAAAUGGCGGUAGCACCUGGUAUACUGAAGCUGCGAAGGACCGGUUCACAAUCUCCAGAGACAAUGCCAAGAACACUCUGCACCUGGAAAUGAACAGUCUGAAGUCUGAGGACACAGCCAUGUAUUACUGUGCAAGAGACACAGUGAAGUUUGUGUGUUUCUUUUCUUCUAGUUUUGCUGGUGAAGGGUCA